rnacentral:rRNA from 1 species
GAUGAACGCUGGCGGCGUGCCUAAUACAUGCAAGUCGAGCGAACAGACGAGGAGCUUGCUCCUCUGACGUUAGCGGCGGACGGGUGAGUAACACGUGGAUAACCUACCUAUAAGACUGGGAUAACUUCGGGAAACCGGAGCUAAUACCGGAUAAUAUAUUGAACCGCAUGGUUCAAUAGUGAAAGACGGUUUUGCUGUCACUUAUAGAUGGAUCCGCGCCGCAUUAGCUAGUUGGUAAGGUAACGGCUUACCAAGGCAACGAUGCGUAGCCGACCUGAGAGUGUGGAUGGCCACACUGGCAGUGAGACAGAGACCAGACACCGACGGGAGGCAGCAGUAGGGAAGCUUGCGCAAGGAGCGAGGGGCGGACGGAUCAAAGCGGGGGGAAGGAGGAAGGACCACGGACCGUAAAACUAUGUUAUUAGGAGGGAACAAAUGUGUACGUAAAAGUGCCGGUCUUGACGGUACCUGAUGAAAAAGCGACGGCUAACUACGUG